rnacentral:rRNA from 1 species
AACGAACGCUGGCGGCAUGCCUAACACAUGCAAGUCGAACGAGACCUUCGGGUCUAGUGGCGCACGGGUGCGUAACGCGUGGGAACCUGCCCUUAGGUUCGGAAUAACUCCCCGAAAGGGGUGCUAAUACCGGAUAAUGUCUUCGGACCAAAGAUUUAUCGCCUUUGGAUGGGCCCGCGUUGGAUUAGAUAGUUGGUAGGGUAAAAGCCUACCAAGGCGACUAUCCAUAGCUGGUCUGAGAGGAUGAUCAGCCACACUGGGACUGAGACACGGCCCAGACUACUACGGGAGGCAGCAGUGGGGAAUAUUGGAAAAUGGGCGAAAGCCUGAUCCAGCAAUGCCGCGUGAGUGAUGAAGGCCUUAGGGUUGUAAAGCUCUUUUACCCGGGAAGAUAAUGACAGUACCGGGAGAAUAAGCUCCGGCUAACUCCGUG